AGUGAACGCUGGCGGUAGGCCUAACACAUGCAAGUCGAACGGCAGCACAGUAAGAGCUUGCUCUUACGGGUGGCGAGUGGCGGACGGGUGAGGAAUACAUCGGAAUCUACUUUUUCGUGGGGGAUCACGUAGGGAAACUUACGCUAAUACCGCAUACGACUUACGGGUGAAAGCAGGGGAUCUUCGGACCUUGCGCGAUUGAAUGAGCCGAUGUCGGAUUAGCUAGUUGGCUGGGUAAAGGCCCACCAAGGCGACGAUCCGUAGCUGGUCUGAGAGGAUGGUCGCCCACACUGGAAGUGAGACGCGGUCCAGACUCCUACGGGAGGGAGCAGAGGGGAAUAUUGGGCAGUGGGCGCAAACCUGGUCCAGCCAUACCGCGUGGGUGAAGGAGGCCUUCGGGUUGUAAAGCCCUUUUGUUGGGAAAGAAAAGCAGCAGGUUAAUACCCCGCUGUUCUGACGGUACCCAAAGAAUAAGCACCGGCUAACUUCGUG
rnacentral:rRNA from 1 species